rnacentral:sRNA from 1 species
AAAAUGAUAGUUAAUUAAGCGAAAAAGUAGACGAUUUCUGGAAAAAAUCGCGCUGUGAGCACUCCUAAUGUCAUCGGUUUUAAUCGCGGCUCUGGAACACCAAUUUCGGGACUCUCGACAGCCCCCAUGGGAAUAUUAUUUUGUCCGGAUGGAUCCUGCAUAAAAUCCGCGCCGCCUGCUCCCUCUCCUUGCAUUCUAGCCUCCAACAACGUCUCCCUCGUCCUUCCCGCAUCCUCCGCACUACGAAGAGGGCCUUCUUGAAGCGUUCGUAGCGCUGUUUCUUCGUCGUUCUCGUGUUCUAAGACCUCGGGUCGGACGAAUACCUGCUUUGGUGACCACCAAUAGAUCGGAUACCGCCGGCGGCCCAGAUUGUUGAUGAUGAGGGCCAAUCCUUGCAUGAUGAGGGCGGAGGCGAGAAUGACAGGCAGGUACCGCCAAGACAAGGAAACGACCAAGGUUUGGACUGCAGCAUUGAAUGCAGUGGCCCCGGACCUGAGGCUUAGGUCAUCAGCGCCUGCGCAUUUUGGAAAUCUGAUAGGUGCUGCACUGACGGUGGAUGGACCAUUCCUGAGAUCAGCAUCGCCAAGGCCGCGGUUGCCAUGCACAGUCCCCCAUUCACAAAAGUGUUGCCAUGAAAGCCUGUAUUAUCCAGAUAAUCUUGGUAACGUGGGUUGAGGACCCAGAGCCUGGUAAUAGCCGUCCCAACCAGAGCCGAAACGAAGUGUCCGCCAAUGAAAUUGCGAGGUUGAGCAAGCGGUGACUCGAUUGCACCGAAAAGAAGGACGGCCGAUGCGCCGAAGGAAGUGAUGAUGAUAGGGGAGGAGUACACAUUGCGAAAAGCUGUGUUGGUGCACAUGAUGGCUUCAAUGAGGAGGAUCCCUCCAAAGCAGCCUAUCCAAGCGAAUAUCAUCCAUACCUCGACCCUCAAAGGAAUCUUGACCAACCAGUUAAAAGGCGGGAACGGUAGAGGAUCAUAAGGCGGCUCAUCGCCGGGCUGACGGUAGCCUGUGAAACGCGAGAUCCAUCGGGGAAGCCGCCCCCGAUAAUCAUCUCGUAGAAGAAAGCGUUCGUAGCGAUGGCGGCGAGAUGGACGACUGUAGAUUGAGAAGACACGGAGCCAGACAGUGGGGCCUCGAAGUCGGGAAAAAAUGGGAAAAUGAGGGGUUGCAGCGACGGGACGAAGAUGAAGAGGAACCGGGCGACGGAAAUAAUGGGGAAGCAAAGGGGGCAAGAUGUGCGAGCCGGCGACGUCAUUGUCCUUUUUUGGGAUGUAGAAUCGAGAACGAAUUGCAAACUACUCACGAACGCUAAAUAACGGCUGACGUACCCGUGCAUCACCCUAACAGCUGGGGGCGAGAAUCAAAAGCAUGGUGCCCGAUAAGCGCUGUGGUGGAGAUUUUUUGUAUGCAGACAGACGGGCAGGACGGAGGGUAAUCGCCGCUGAUGUAUAUAAAUAGCGCAUGAAUAUUUUUGAUCCGAUCUAACAGCCGGGAGAGCACUAGCUUAUGACACUAUAAGCCCUACUAAGCUCUGUAAAAUCAUAUACAUACCCGGCUUGCAGGCGGCGCGACUCGAACCUGGAUAGUUUCCUUCAUAGUUUUUCACUGUGAGAAUUCGGCGCAUGGCGGAGAGGGGGUCGAGAAUGCCAUGGGAGGAGAGUAGGGUGGUGCAGGGGUGGGUAGAUAAGGUGAGGAAGGAAGGGCCGACCACGACUGCCAUGCUGGUGGGGACUGCUGGACAAUAGAUUGGGAAGUGGCUAGUGAUAAGUGAUAAAGAUCCUUGUCAAAUAGAUUAGAUUAAAAAGUAGAAAGCGAAA